rnacentral:tRNA from 1 species
UAGAUUGAAGCCAGUUGACUAGGGUAUUUAGCUGUUAACUAAAUUUUUCGUGGGGUUGUAGCCCACCAAUCUAG